CCAUCCGCUGGGUUUCCGGUCAGAGGGAGGGUAGGAGCUCCAGCCAGAGAGGGCAUGGGUGAAGCGCCUUCAAGACGCCCUCUGGGACUGGCCCUGCCAAGCAGGCCUGGCACCACAGGUGGCCCUCUGGCAUUGCCUGGGAGCUACCAGAGUUGAUCCAGAAGCAAUGAAAUUCUUCAGAAACAGACCCAAUCUGGCUUGAAUUUCCUCAGGCUCUCCAUCUUCCUCUUAGGAAGAUGAGAGGGAGGAGGAAUCAGCCAGGAUCCCAGGAGUUUUCAGAAGCCGGUUUCAACCCAACAUGGCUCUAUUUGGCUUCUCACACCACCACCCACCACCCACCACUGUUUUCAGGCAUGGAAUUUUGGAACUGGAAGGGACCUGAAAUAUCCCCUGCAGCCCUAUUUGGCAGAUGAGGACACUGAGUUCCACAGAUGUGAUGGAGGCAGUCUGGGCCUCACAGCUUCCAGCCUCUACUGUCUGCACCUCACCAGGAGCCAGGCCUCCGGGGACCCUGUGUGCACAGGACCCUCUCAGUAUGGAUCUAAAACUGCCCUCUGACAAACCUGCCCACAGCUGGGGACCUGGCCAGCACAACAUUUACCCCUUCUGGUCCAAAUGAACUUUCUUGAUCUGGACCAGAAAAGCCAAGAGUGGGAUGAGGUAAGGGAGAGAGGAUAGGAUGGUCCUGGUGACAUUGCCCCACCCCAUGCCUCUCGCACUGCUGUGGCCCCUAGGCACCCCAACCUGGUGCUGAUCAUUGCUUCCAAUCACCCCACUGUGCUGUACCCUAGUUCCUUCCGGCUAAACCAGGCCUCUUUCCUAGGUGCCAGUGGGGACAGAGGAGGAUCAACAUCACCUUUGCUGAUGUGCAGAGCAGGGCCAGGCCCCCAGGGCCUUUCCUCUCUUCCCAGGCACAAGGACUCUAACAACAGAAGCUCUAGUUCAGCCCAGGGAACAAGCUGGUAGGCCUUUUUCCAACGUCUCAUAAAAUCUUUUCCAGUCUUCAAGUCCA